rnacentral:rRNA from 1 species
AGCCAGACUCCUACGGGAGGCAGCAGUGAGGAAUAUUGGUCAAUGGCCGGAAGGCUGAACCAGCCAAGCCGCGUGAGGGAGGAAGGCGCAGAGCGUCGCAGACCUCUUUUGCCGGGGGACAAAAGGCCGGACUCGUCCGGUCCUGAGGGUACCCGGAGAAAAAGCAUCGGCUAACUCCGUGCCAGCAGCCGCGGUAAUACGUAUGGUGCAAGCGUUAUCCGGAUUUACUGGGUGUAAAGGGAGCGCAGGCGGCGCGUUAAGCCUGGUGUGAAAGCCCGCGGCCCAACCGCGGGACUGCAUUGGGAACUGGCGCGCUGGAGUGCCGGAGGGGUAGGCGGAAUUCCUAGUGUAGCGGUGAAAUGCGUAGAUAUUAGGAGGAACACCAGUGGCGAAGGCGGCCUACUGGACGGUGACUGACGCUGAGGCUCGAAAGCGUGGGGAGCAAACAGGAUUAGAUACCCGCGUAGAG